AGUGGCGCACGGGUGCGUAACGCGUGGGAAUAUACCCUUGAGUAAGGAAUAACGUAGAGAAAUUUGCGCUAAUACCUUAUAAUGACUUCGGUCCAAAGAUUUAUCGCUCAAGGAUUAGCCCGCGUCAGAUUAGAUAGUUGGUGAGGUAAUGGCUCACCAAGCCGACGAUCUGUAGGGGGUCUGAGAGGAUGAUCCCCCACACUGGUACUGAGACACGGACCAGACUCCUACGGGAGGCAGCAGUGAGGAAUAUUGGACAAUGGAGGCAACUCUGAUCCAGCCAUGCCGCGUGAGUGAAGACGGCCUUAGGGUUGUAAAGCUCUUUCAAUUGCGAAGAUAAUGACGGUAACAAUAGAAGAAGCUCCGGCUAAAUUCGUGCCAGCAGCCGCGGUAAUACGAAUGGAGCAAGCGUUGUUCGGAAUCACUGGGCUUAAAGCGUAUGUAGGCGGAAUGGAAAGUCAGGAGUGAAAUCCCAGAGCUCAACUCUGGAACUGCUCUUGAAACUUCCAUUCUAGAAUCCUGGAGAGGUUAGGAGAAUUCCGAGUGUAGAGGUGAAAUUCGCAGAUAUUCGGAGGAAUACCAGUGGCGUAGGCGCCUAACUGGACAGGUAUUGACGCUCAGAUACGAAAGCGUGGGGAGCAAACAGGAUUAGAUACCCUGGUAGUCCACGCCGUAAACGAUGUUUGCUAGUUGUCAGCCCUUAGGGUUUGGUGACGGAGAGAAAUCAUUAAGCAAACCGCCUGGGGAGUACGCCGCAAGUUAAAACUCAAAGGAAUUGACGGGACCCGCACAAGCGGUGGAGCAUGUUGUUUAAUUCGAAGCACGCGAGAACCUUACCACUCUUGACAUCCUCCUUGGGACUUUAGAGAUAUUGUCU
rnacentral:rRNA from 1 species